CCUACGGGUGGCAGCAGUGGGGAAUAUUGCACAAUGGGGGAAACCCUGAUGCAGCAACGCCGCGUGAGUGAUGACGGCCUUCGGGUUGUAAAGCUCUGUCUUCAGGGACGAGAAGGACGGUAACUGAGGAGGAAGCCACGGCUAACGACGUGCCAGCAGCCGCGGGAAUACGUAGGUGGCGCGCGUUGUCCGGAUUUACUGGGCGUAAAGGGAGCGUAGGCGGACUUUUAAGUGAGAUGUGACAUACUCGGGCUCAACUUGAGUGCUGCAUUUCAAACUGGAAGUCUAGAGUGCAGGAGAGGAGACUGGAAUUCCUAGUGUAGCGGUGACAUGCGUAGAGAUUAGGAAGCACACCAGUGGCGAAGGCGAUUCUCUGGACUGUACCUGACGCUGAGGCUCGAAAGCGUGGGGAGCAAACAGGAUUAGAUACCCUUGUAGUC
rnacentral:rRNA from 1 species